rnacentral:rRNA from 1 species
GGGGAAUAUUGGACAAUGGGCGCAAGCCUGAUCCAGCCAUGCCGCGUGAGUGAUGAAGGCCCUAGGGUUGUAAAGCUCUUUCACCGGUGAAGAUAAUGACGGUAACCGGAGAAGAAGCCCCGGCUAACUUCGUGCCAGCAGCCGCGGUAAUACGAAGGGGGCUAGCGUUGUUCGGAAUUACUGGGCGUAAAGCGCACGUAGGCGGAUAUUUAAGUCAGGGGUGAAAUCCCAGAGCUCAACUCUGGAACUGCCUUUGAUACUGGGUAUCUUGAGUAUGGAAGAGGUAAGUGGAAUUCCGAGUGUAGAGGUGAAAUUCGUAGAUAUUCGGAGGAACACCAGUGGCGAAGGCGGCUUACUGGUCCAUUACUGACGCUGAGGUGCGAAAGCGUGGGGAGCAAAC